rnacentral:rRNA from 1 species
CCUACGGGAGGCAGCAGUGGGGAAUAUUGCACAAUGGGGGAAACCCUGAUGCAGCAACGCCGCGUGAGUGAUGACGGUCUUCGGAUUGUAAAGCUCUGUCUUUAGGGACGAUAAUGACGGUACCUAAGGAGGAAGCCACGGCUAACUACGUGCCAGCCGCCGCGGUAAU